AAUCCCUUCGAAGAGAGGUUUUAUUUUUUUUGAUAAACCCCUUGAAGAGAGUUGAAUUCAGAAGAAUGAUGCAUAGGACGUUAUCACAAGUUCAGCCAAAUUCAAGGAAUGAUCUUUAGAACUAAAAAUGGAGCUCUCACUCUUUCUUCAAACCUCUUCAAAACCCUCGCACCCUUUCUCAAUUCCUCUCCAUUUUCUUCAAUCCCCAAACCCAAUUUCUCCACUCCCAGAAGACCUGCUUCACUCAUUGUGCCACCACCACCACCACCACCACCAACAACAACCUCACGCACUGUAAGUUCUUCUGAUUUCAACACAAUCUGUUCUUUACUAAUUUCAAGCCAACCCCAUCAAACCACAACAAAUAUUGAUGAUUUGUUAAAGGGUUUUGAAGAAAAGUUGAACUCUAAUCUUGUGCUUCAAAUUCUGAUGAACUAUAGACAGUUGGGUAGGAUUAAGACCUUGGAAUUCUUUGCUUGGGCUGGAAUGCAAAUGGGUUUUAAGUUUGAUGACUGUGUUGUUGAGUACAUGGCUGAUUUCUUAGGUAGGAGGAAGCUAUUUGAUGAUAUCAAGUGUCUUUUGGUGACUGUGUUCUUACAUAAAGGUCGAGUUUCGUGUCGAACAUUUUCGAUUUGUAUUAGGUUUUUGGGUAGGCAAGGGAGAGUUAGAGAAGCCCUUUGCUUGUUUCAGGAAAUGGAAUCACAAUUUAGGUGUAAACCCGAUAAUCUUGUGUACAAUAAUAUGCUCUAUGUGCUUUGCAAGAAGGAAAGAUCUGAGGAACUAAUUGAUUUUGCACUAAUGAUUUUUAGGAGAAUCGAAUUGCCGGAUACGUAUUCGUAUAGUAAUAUUCUUGUUGGUUUAUGUAAAUUUGGUAGGUUUGAGACUGCACUUGAUGUUUUUGGUGAAAUGGGUAGGGCUGGUUUAGUUCCUACUCGGUCUGCGGUGAACUUUCUUAUUGGGCAGUUGUGUUCAUUGAGUGCAAAAGAGGGAGCUGUUGAGAAAGUUAGAGUGAAAGAUGCUCAUAGACCCUUUACAAUUUUAGUUCCAAAUGUGGGUGCUAACAGUGGUGCCGUACAGCCUGCAGUUGCAGUGUUUUGGGCAGUUCAUGAGAUGGGUUUAUUACCUAGUACAUUUGUUAUAAAGCAGCUGAUUUCAGAGCUUUGUCGAUUGGGUAAAAUGGAAGAAGCUGUUAAGUUGUUGAAACUUGUUGAGGGAAGGAAGCUGAGUUGUGUGGAAGAAGGUUACUCUAUUGUCAUACAGGCAUUGUGUGAACACCGAUUGGUAGAGGAAGCCAGCCAUUUGUUUGGGAGGAUGCUCUCCCAGGGCAUGAAGCCAAAGUUGGUUAUUUACAAUUCUGUUAUUUCAAUGCUAUGCAAAUUAGGGAAUUUAGAUGAUGCUAAAAGGGUUUUUGAGAUAAUGAAUAAUAAGAGAUGCCUUCCAGAUAAUUUUACCUAUUCGGCAUUGAUCCUUGCUUAUGGUGAAGCUAGGAAUUGGGAAGAUGCUUAUGGCUUAUUGAUUGAGAUGUUAGGACUGGGCUUAUCUCCACAUUUUCACACAUAUAGUUUAGUGGAUAAACUUUUGAGGGAUAAUGCAAAGUUGGAUUUGUUAUUCAAAUUGGAGCGGAAAUUGGACUCUCAGAUCUUGCAGAAGCUCUGUAAAGCAGGUGAACUAGGGGCUGCUUAUGAAAAGCUAAAAUCAUUACUUGAAAAGGGUUUUUAUCCACCAGUCUAUAUAAAGGAUGCUUUUGAACAUGCAUUUAAAAAGAGUGGAAAAUUGAAGAUGGCUCGUGAAUUGCUACAGAAGAUUGACAAUGACUGCAAACCUGAUGAGACAGAAAUCAGAAGUUCUGAAUAAACCAUCAGCAAGAAGGGUAUUUGAGUAUCUGCGUGCUUGUUCAUUGCAUCAAUGUAGAUAUAUCUGAAUUUUCCAAAUUUAAGCCACCAUUAAAGAACCAAGCCCGUACAGCCAUUGGGGAGGAUGGCACUACCGGGAAAAAAAAAAAAAAAAGUCUUGUCUUUGUCCUAUGUUGAAAACAAUUCUAUGCAAGAAGUAUGCUUUCUGCAGCAGCAAGCUUCCAAGCAGGAAACUAGCACCCAGGAUCAGGGGAAGCUGCAGGUCAGUGCAGCCCAGCGUGCAUUGCAGCAGCAGGGUGCGGCCCAGCAUGCACCACAGGGUCAGGAAAAGAUGCAAGUGAAUGCAGGCCACAGUGCAUCACAGUAUCAGUGGAAGACCAGUGCCUUAUCAUGAUCAGAUUAUUCAUUCAAUUCAAGGGAUGAUGCCACAUGGUCUGGAAGUUAUUAGUUGAUGUACACGUGUAAUGAUUAGGUAGCUUUAGUUGUAACAAACUUUCCCUCCAAAACAGGGAGUUUGUUAUUUUUGCUUUCUUUGUACACGAUUGUAUAUAAAAGGAUAGAGAUAGUGAAUUAGAUCAGUUAGUUGGAUUGUAAUCUUUUCUAAUCAAUGAAAAUCGAUCAGUUUCUAUUUA